UUUAAAAUUUGAGUUUUGAACUGGAUUAGUACCCAGGUAAUCAAAAUUUAUUAAUGCGGGAGUAAAGUUAUUUUUAAACCGAAAAAAUAUUGGCUGACCUUAAAUUUUUCUUUGGAACAUGUAUUUUGGAUAGUCCUCCUUAAAUUUUUAGUUUGGGCUCAUGUAUGAUUGUUUUGUUUUUAUAUUAUUUAUAAAAUUUUUUUAUUUUGAGUAAAAUGCAGAUAGAUACUUGGCUUGUGAAAAAUUUUUUAUGUGUUACUAUUAUUAAAAUUAUCGGAUUAUUGAUUAGUUAUUAGUAGGAAGUUGGAAAAGAAAGUAAUUUU
rnacentral:rRNA from 1 species